GAGAGGUUGUUCGGGAAUUUCUGGGCGUAAGGGCGCGUAGGCGGCCGGUCAGUUGGAUGUGAAACCCCUGGCUCAACCAUGGAACGGCAUUCAAAACUGGACGGCUUGAGAGCGAAAGAGGAGAGUGGAAUACCCAGUGUAGAGGUGAAAUUCGUAGAUAUUGGGUGGAACACCGGUGGCGAAAGCGGCUUUCUGGCUCGGAUCUGACGCUGAGGCGCGAAAGCGUGGGGAGCAAACAGGAUUAGAUACCCUGGUAGUCCACGCCCUAAACGAUGUGCGCUAGACGUUGGGGGACUUGUCCCUCGGUGUCGGAGCUAACGUGUUAAGCGCACCGCCUGGGGAGUACGGCCGCAAGGUUAAAACUCUAAGGAAUUGACGGGGGCCCGCACAAGCGGUGGAGAAUGUGUUUUUUUUCUAUGCAACGCGCAGAACCUUACCAGCCCUUGACAUGCUUGCUAAAGCGGCAGAGAUGCCGUGUCCUUCCCGAAGCCUGCACAGGUGCUGCAUGGC
rnacentral:rRNA from 1 species